GACGAAGGAUGCAAGCGUUAUCCGGAUUCAUUGGGUUUAAAGGGCGCGUAGGUGGCCUUAUAAGUCAGUGGUGAAAUCUUCGAGCUUAACUCGGAAAUUGCCAUUGAUACUGUAGGGCUUGAGUAUAGUUGCCGUUGGCGGAAUAUGACAUGUAGUGGUGAAAUACAUAGAGAUGUCAUAGAACACCGAUUGCGAAGGCAGCUGACGAAACUAUAACUGACACUGAGGCUCGAAAGUGCGGGGAUCAAACAGG
rnacentral:rRNA from 1 species